GGUGCAAUGGACAGGGCUGGUAUACGGCAACUGGUGUUUGCCGAUACGGCGCAAAAACUGAAGCUCGAAGCCAUAUUGCAUCC
rnacentral:tRNA from 1 species